rnacentral:rRNA from 1 species
AGAGUUUGAUCUGGCUCAGAUUGAACGCUGGCGGAAUGCUUUACACAUGCAAGUCGAGCGGCAGCGCGGGGGCAACCCUGACGGCGAGCGGCGAACGGGUGAGUAACACAUCGGAACGUACCCAGUAAUGGGGGAUAACUAACCGAAAGGUUAGCUAAUACCGCAUACGCCCUGAGGGGGAAAGUGUGGGGGAUCGCAGGACUCGCUUUUUGGGCCCGCCCGGUGGGGGGAAUUAGCUAGUUGGGGAGGAAAAGCCCCCCCCGGGGCGACGAUCCGCCUAGCGGUCUGAGAGGGAGGACGGCCCGCCACACUGGAACUGAGACACGGUCCAGACUCCUACGGGAGGCAGCAGUGGGGAAUUUUGGACAAUGGGCGGAAGCCUGAUCCAGCCAUUCCGCGUGAGUGAAGAAGGCCUUCGGGUUGUAAAGCUCUUUCGGCAGGAACGAAACGGUGGGGGCUAAUACCCUUUACUAAUGACGGUACCUGAAGAAGAAGCACCGGCUAACUACGUGCCAGCAGCCGCGGUAAUACGUAGGAUGCGAGCGUUAAUCGGAAUUACUGGGCGUAAAGCGUGCGCAGGCGGUUUUGUAAGACAGAUGUGAAAUCCCCGGGCUCAACCUGGGAACUGCGUUUGUGACUGCAAAACUCCAGGUGUGGCAAAAGGGGGGUGGAAUUCCACGGGAAGCAGGAAAAUGGGGAGAAUUGUGGGGGACACCGAUGGGAAGGCAGCCCCUUGGGUCAACAUUAACGCUCAUGCACGAAAGCGUGGGAGAAAACAGAAUUAAUUACCCUGGUAGUCCACCCCCUAAACGAUCGAAAUUAGGUGUUGGAAAAGGAAACUUCUUAAGUACGGCAGCUAAGGCGUAAAUUUCGCCGCCUGGGGAGUCCGGGGGCAAAUUUAAAACUCAAAGGAAUUAACGGGGACCCGCACAAGCGGUGGAUGAUGUGGAUUAAUUGAAUGCAACCGGAAAAACCUUUCCUACCCUUGACAGGCCUGGAAUCCUGUUAAAAGGCGGGAGUGCCCAAAAGGGAAUUGGGACCCAGGUGCUGCAUGGCUGUGGUCAGCCCGUGUCGUGAGAUGUUGGGUUAAGUCCCGCAACGAGCGCAACCCUUGUCGUUAAUUGCCAUCAUUCAGUUGGGCACUUUAGCAAAACUGCCGGUGACAAACCGGAGGAAGGUGGGGAAGACGUCAAGUCCUCAUGGCCCUUAUGGGUAGGGCUUCACACGUCAUCCAAUGGUCGGUACAAAGGGUCGCCAACCCGCGAGGGGGAGCCAAUCCCACAAAGCCGAUCGUAGUCCGGAUCGGAGUCUGCAACUCGACCCCGUGAAGUCGGAAUCGCUAGUAAUCGUGGAUCAGCAUGCCACGGUAAAUACGUUCCCGGUUCUUGUACACACCGCCCGU